GAUGAAGAACGCAGCGAAAUGCGAUACGUAAUGUGAAUUGCAAAUUCAGUGAAUCAUCGAGUCUUUGAACGCACAUUGCGCCCCCUGGUAUUCUGGGGGGCAUGCCUGUCCGAGCGUCAUUGCUGCCCUCAAGCACGGCUUGUGUGUUGGGCCCCGUCCUCCGAUCCCGGGGGACGGGCCCGAAAGGCAGCGGCGGCACCGCGUCCGGUCCUCGAGCGUAUGGGGCUUUGUCACCCGCUCUGUAGGCCCGGCCGGCGCUUGCCGAUCAACCCAAAUUUUUAUCCAGGUUGACCUCGGAUCAGGUAGGGAUACCCGCUGAACUUAAGCAUAUCAAUAAGCGGAGGA
rnacentral:misc_RNA from 1 species